GACGAGGGAUCCUAGCGUUGUUCGGAAUCAUUGGGCGUAAAGCGGGCGUAGGUGGCUUUGUAAGUCGGGUGUGAAAUCCCUGGGCUCAACCCAGGACGUGCACACGAUACCGCUUAGCUUGAAUGUGGAAGAGGUGAGUGGAAUUCCUGGUGUAGUGGUGAAAUACGUAGAUAUCAGGAGGAACACCGGUGGCGAAGGCGGCUCACUGGUCCAACAUUGACACUGAAGCCCGAAAGCGUGGGGAUCAAACAGG
rnacentral:rRNA from 1 species